rnacentral:rRNA from 1 species
UACGGAGGGUGCGAGCGUUGUUCGGAAUCACUGGGCGUAAAGCGCGUGUAGGCGGCCCAUUAAGUCUGAUGUGAAAGCCCGGGGCUCACCCCCGGAAGUGCAUUGGAAACUGAUGGGCUCGAGUCCCGGAGAGGAGGGUGGAAUUCCUGGUGUAGCGGUGAAAUGCGCAGAUAUCAGGAGGAACACCAGUAGCGAAGGCGGUUCUCUGGGCCGGUACUGACGCUGAGGAGCGAAAGCGUGGGGAGCAAACAGG